CUGAAGAAUAGCUUCCGAACACAUCCUGACACUGUAGUGGGAAGGAAGGAAGUCGCACCCUGUUACACUUUGAAUCUGAGACAAGAAAGGAAGUCUGUCCUGCCCUGUACGCCUGGGAACAAAGGGGACCAAUCGGGGAACUCUCAAGCCUACAGACACCCUUCAAGAGCUUGCAGCUUGGGAAGGCAAAGCCAGGAUACAGUGUGCUAAAUGCCGUGUAGACCACAACACUCCAGUCCCCAACAAGGAAACAAAAGAGGGAAAAUGAGAAUGAGGAUGAAGUUUACAUGUCACUGUCUGAGGGCUUCUACAGAACAUGUUCAGUGUGAGAAUUUCCAAAGCUGACAGAUGCAUUUAAUGGAAGUAAAACUUAAGAUUCUUAAGGCUUGCUUCAAUACAAAGUCGUUAUUGGGAAACUGAGGGUAUUUGUAAUUAUGUUCUAAAAUGCUGCAACACGGGAUUAUAACAUAAGCAUAAUUACUACUGAAAAUAAAGUUAAGAA